GGACGAGGGGCAGCCCCAGCACCCCCACACUGAUGGGGCACUGCCUGGUUGGCCAAGGACAGUUGUGUCAGCAGCAAUAAGGGCAUGUCCCACCCACCAGGAGGGGUAUAAAACCAGGCUGUUUUGGGCAAAGCAGCAUUCCCUGACCCCAAGGGCAUCUGGAGCCAAGUGAUUCCUGUUGGAUUUGCUGCUGCCUGAACACCAAGACCUUCAUCAGCCCUGCGAAGACGUGGGAGUGGUGGAUCAGCCAUGAAGAUCCUGUACCUGCUCUUCCCCUUGCUCCUCCUGCUGGUCCAGGGUGCUGCAGGAGAUCCAACUGAAUGCAGACGGCGAGGGGGAUACUGCACUUUUCGGAAUUGCCCCUUCUCUACAGUACCAAUUGGAUUCUGCUCAAAAGAUACUCUCUGCUG